rnacentral:rRNA from 1 species
UUUAAGUGAGAAUCUUAAAGGCCGAAUAUCUAAGGUUUCCAGGGUAAAGCUGAUCUUCCCUGGGUAAGUCGGGGCCUAAGGCGAGGGCGAGAGCCGUAGUCGAUGGAUAACAGGUUGAAAUUCCUGUACUGCUUAUGGACAGAACCGUGGGGACGCAGAAGGAGAGCACGAGCCGGAAAUGGAAAAGCCGGUACAAGCGUAUAGCAGUCAUGCAGGCAAAACCGCAUGAAAAAUGUAAAGCGUUAUGUGGAUCGAACAUUAGUAGAGAAGCGUGUGAGCCAGCUGCCAAGAAAAGCCGCUAUUGCUUCAUAAGUACCCGUACCGUAAACCGACACAGGUGGAUGAGGAGAGAAUCCUAAGGCCGGCGGGAGAAGUGUUGUUAAGGAACUCGGCAAAAUGACUCCGUAACUUCGGGAGAAGGAGUGCCACAGAGAUGUGGCCGCAGAGAAAUGGCCCAAGCAACUGUUUAGCAAAAACACAGGUCUAUGCAAAACCGAAAGGUGAGGUAUAUGGGCUGACGCCUGCCCGGUGCUGGAAGGUUAAGAGGAGAGGUUAGAGCAAUCGAAGCUUUGAAUUUAAGCCCCAGUAAACGGCGGCCGUAACAAUAACGGUCCUAAGGUAGCGAAAUUCCUUGUCGGGUAAGUUCCGACCCGCACGAAAGGCGUAAUGAUUUGGGCACUGUCUCAACAACACACCCGGUGAAAUUGAAAUACCAGUGAAGAUGCUGGUUACCUGCGCCAGGACGGAAAGACCCCAUGGAGCUUUACUCCAGUUUGAUACUGGGAUUCGGUACUGUCUGUACAGGAUAGGUGGGAGGCUAGGAAAUGGUGACGCCAGUUGCCAUGGAGCCAACCUUGGGAUACCACCCUUACAGUACUGGGUUUCUAACCUGCAGCCGUAACCCGGCUGGGGGACAAUGUCUGACGGGGAGUUUGACUGGGGCGGUCGCCUCGAAAGAGUAUCGGAGGCGCUCAAAGGUUCCCUCAGAACGGUUGGAAACCGUUCGAAGAGUGCAAAGGCAGAAGGGAGCUUGACUGCGACACCGACGGGUGGAGCAGAUACGAAAGUAGGACUUAGUGAUCCGGUGGUAUAAAGUGGGAUUGCCAUCGCUCAACGGAUAAAAGCUACCCUGGGAUAACAGGCUUAUCACUCCCAAGAGUUCACAUCGACGGAGUGGUUUGGCACCUCGAUGUCGGCUCAUCGCAUCCUGGAGCUGUAGCAGGUUCCAAGGGUUGGGCUGUUCGCCCAUUAAAGCGGUACGCGAGCUGGGUUCAGAACGUCGUGAGACAGUUCGGUCCCUAUCCAGCGUGGGCGUAGGAUAUUUGAGAGGAGCUGUCCUUAGUACGAGAGGACCGGGAUGGACAAACCUCUGGUGUAUCUGUUGUUUUACCAAAGGCAUGGCAGAGUAGCCAAGUUUGGCAGGGAUAAACGCUGAAGGCAUCUAAGCGUGAAGCCCCCCUCAAGAUAAGAUAUCCCAUCUUCGGAGUAAGACCCCUUGAAGACUACAAGGUUGAUAGGCUUUGUGUGUAAGUGCGGUAACGCACUCAGCUGAGAAGUACUAAUAGGUCGAGGACUUAUCU